rnacentral:SRP_RNA from 14 species
GCUGGACUCAGUGGACCAGGACUAUAGGCCCAGUUAUUAUGGAGUCUGAGACAAGAGGAUCCCUGAGUUCACAAGUUUGAGACUACAGUGAUUUAGAGGAUUGCAGAUAGAGUGUGCACACUAAGUUCAGCACCAUGAUAGUGACCUUCCAGGAAUGGAGAACCACCAGCUUGUGUAAGGAGUGGUGAACUGGCUCAGGCUGGAAACAGAGCAGGUCAAAACUCUUGUGCUGACAGCCCCUUUGGUCAGGCACUAUACUCCAGCCCAAGAAACACAGCGCAUCCCAAUCUCU